GCUUAACACAUGCAAGUCGAACGGAAAGGCCCUGCUUUUGUGGGGUGCUCGAGUGGCGAACGGGUGAGUAACACGUGAGUAACCUGCCCUUGACUUUGGGAUAACUUCAGGAAACUGGGGCUAAUACCGGAUAGGAGCUCCUGCUGCAUGGUGGGGGUUGGAAAGUUUCGGCGGCUGGGGAUGGACUCGCGGCUUAUCGGCUUGUUGGUGGGGUAGUGGCUUACCAAGGCUUCGACGGGUAGCCGGCCUGAGAGGGUGACCGGCCACAUUGGGACUGAGAUACGGCCCAGACUCCUACGGGAGGCAGCAGUGGGGAAUAUUGCACAAUGGGCGGAAGCCUGAUGCAGCAACGCCGCGUGCGGGAUGACGGCCUUCGGGUUGUAAACCGCUUUCGCCUGUGACGAAGCGUGAGUGACGGUAAUGGGUAAAGAAGCACCGGCUAACUACGUGCCAGCAGCCGCGGUGAUACGUAGGGUGCGAGCGUUGUCCGGAUUUAUUGGGCGUAAAGGGCUCGUAGGUGGUUGAUCGCGUCGGAAGUGUAAUCUUGGGGCUUAACCCUGAGCGUGCUUUCGAUACGGGUUGACUUGAGGAAGGUAGGGGAGAAUGGAAUUCCUGGUGGAGCGGUGGAAUGCGCAGAUAUCAGGAGGAACACCAGUGGCGAAGGCGGUUCUCUGGGCCUUUCCUGACGCUGAGGAGCGAAAGCGUGGGGAGCGAACAGGCUUAGAUACCCUGGUAGUCCACGCUGUAAACGGUGGGUACUAGGUGUGGGGUCCAUUCCACGGGUUCCGUGCCGUAGCUAACGCUUUAAGUACCCCGCCUGGGGAGUACGGCCGCAAGGCUAAAACUCAAAGGAAUUGACGGGGCCCCGCACAAGCGGCGGAGCAUGCGGAUUAAUUCGAUGCAACGCGUAGAACCUUACCUGGGUUUGACAUGGAUCGGGAGUGCUCAGAGAUGGGUGUGCCUCUUUUGGGGUCGGUUCACAGGUGGUGCAUGCCUGUCGUCAGCUCGUGUCGUGAGAUGUUGGGUUAAGUCCCGCAACGAGCGCAACCCUUGUUCACUGUUGCCAGCACGUUAUGGUGGGGACUCAGUGGAGACCGCCGGGGUCAACUCGGAGGAAGGUGGGGAUGACGUCAAGUCAUCAUGCCCCUUAUGUCCAGGGCUUCACGCAUGCUACAAUGGCUGGUACAGAGAGUGGCGAGCCUGUGAGGGUGAGCGAAUCUCGGAAAGCCGGUCUCAGUUCGGAUUGGGGUCUGCAACUCGCCCUCAUGAAGUCGGAGUCGCUAGUAAUCGCAGAUCAGCAACGCUGCGGUGAAUACGUUCCCGGGGCC
rnacentral:rRNA from 1 species